rnacentral:rRNA from 1 species
CAGAGGGUGCAAGCGUUGCUCGGAAUCAUUGGGCGUAAAGGGCAAGUAGGUGGUCUCAUUUGUCUUGUGUGAAAUCCUUGGGCUUAACUCAAGAAGUGCGCAAGAAACGGUGAGACUCGAGUUCUGGAGAGGGUCGUGGAAUUCCCGGUGUAGCGGUGAAAUGCGUAGAGAUCGGGAGGAACACCAGAGGCGAAGGCGGCGACCUGGACAGACACUGACACUCAACUGCGAAAGCGUGGGGAGCAAACAGGAUUAGAUACCCUGGUAGUCCACGCUGUAAACGAUGGGAACUAGGUUUGGUGGGUCUUGACCCCCGCCGAACCGGCGCUAACGCACUAAGUUCCCCGCCUGGGAAGUACGGUCGCAAGACUA